AAGGGAGCGUAGGUGGACUGGUAAGUCAGUUGUGAAAGUUUGCGGCUCAACCGUAAAAUUGCAGUUGAUACUGUCAGUCUUGAGUACAGUAGAGGUGGGCGGAAUUCGUGGUGUAGCGGUGAAAUGCUUAGAUAUCACGAAGAACUCCGAUUGCGAAGGCAGCUCACUGGACUGCAACUGACACUGAUGCUCGAAAGUGUGGGUAUCAAACAGGAUUAGAUACCCUGGUAGUCCACACAGUAAACGAUGAAUACUCGCUGUUUGCGAUAUACAGUAAGCGGCCAAGCGAAAGCAUUAAGUAUUCCACCUGGGGAGUACGCCGGCAACGGUGAAACUCAAAGGAAUUGACGGGGGCCCGCACAAGCGGAGGAACAUGUGGUUUAAUUCGAUGAUACGCGAGGAACCUUACCCGGGCUUAAAUUGCAGUGGAAUGAUGUGGAAACAUGUCAGUGAGCAAUCACCGCUGUGAAGGUGCUGCAUGGUUGUCGUCAGCUCGUGCCGUGAGGUGUCGGCUUAAGUGCCAUAACGAGCGCAACCCUUAUCUUUAGUUACUAACAGGUUAUGCUGAGGACUCUAGAGAGACUGCCGUCGUAAGAUGUGAGGAAGGUGGGGAUGACGUCAAAUCAGCACGGCCCUUACGUCCGGGGCUACACACGUGUUACAAUGGGGGGUACAGAAGGCAGCUAGCGGGUGGCCGUAUGCUAAUCCCAAAAUCCUCUCUCAGUUCGGAUCGAAGUCUGCAACCCGACUUCGUGAAGCUGGAUUCGCUAGUAAUCGCGCAUCAGCCACGGCGCGGUGAAUACGUUCCCGGGCCUUGUACACACCGCCCGUCAAGCCAUGGGAGCCGGGGGUACCUGAAGUGCGUAACCGCGAGGAGCGCCCUAGGGUAAAACUGGUGACUGGGGCUA
rnacentral:rRNA from 1 species